GACGAACGCUGGCGGCGUGCUUAACACAUGCAAGUCGAACGGAGUGGCGAACGGGUGAGUAACACGUGGGUGAUCUGCCUUGCACUUCGGGAUAAGCUUGGGAAACUGGGUCUAAUACCGGAUAGUGCAAGAUGAGCUCGCGGCCUAUCAGCUUGUUGGUGGGGUAAUGGCCUACCAAGGCGUCGACGGGUAGCCGGCCUGAGAGGGUGUAAGGCCACAUUGGGACUGAGGUACGGACCAGACGGCAACGGGAGGCAGCGGGGGGGAAUAUUGCACAACGGGCGGAAGCCUGAUGCAGCGGCGCCGCGUGGGGGAUGAAGGCCUGCGGGUGGUAAACUCCUUUCGACAGGGACGCGGUACCUGUAUAAGAAGCACCGGCUAACUACGUGCCAGCAGCCGCGGUAAUUC
rnacentral:rRNA from 1 species